rnacentral:rRNA from 1 species
AGAGUUUGAUCAUGGCUCAGGAUGAACGCUAGCGGCAGGCCUAACACAUGCAAGUCGAGGGGUAACGUGAGUGCUUGCACUUGACGACGACCGGCGCACGGGUGCGGAACGCGUAUGGAACCUACCUUUAUCAGGGAGAUAGCCCAUGGAAACGUGGAUUAAUAUCCCAUAGUAUUAUUUUAUCGCCUGAUAGAAUAAUUAAAGAAUUUCGGAUAGAGAUGGCCAUGCGUAUCAUUAGCUAGUAGGCGAGGUAACGGCUCACCUAGGCGACGAUGAUUAGGGGUCCUGAGAGGGAGAUCCCCCACACUGGUACUGAGACACGGACCAGACUCCUACGGGAGGCAGCAGUGAGGAAUAUUGGGCAAUGGAGGCAACUCUGACCCAGCCAUGCCGCGUGCAGGAAGACGGCCCUACGGGUUGUAAACUGCUUUUAUACAGGAAGAACACCACCCACGUGUGGGUGACUGACGGUACUGUAAGAAUAAGGACCGGCUAACUCCGUGCCAGCAGCCGCGGUAAUACGGAGGGUCCGAGCGUUAUCCGGAAUCAUUGGGUUUAAAGGGUCCGUAGGCGGGCUAAUAAGUCAGAGGUGAAAGUUUGCAGCUCAACUGUAAAAUUGCCUUUGAUACUGUUAGUCUUGAGUUAUAGUGAAGUGGUUAGAAUAAGUGGUGUAGCGGUGAAAUGCAUAGAUAUCACUU